rnacentral:rRNA from 1 species
GAUGAACGCUAGCGGCAGGCUUAAUACACGCAAGUCGAGGGGUAGCAAGAUUGUAGCAAUACAAUUGUUGACGACCGGCAAACGGGUGCGGAACACGUACACAACCUUCCUACAAGUGGGGAAUAGCCCAGAGAAAUUUGGAUUAAUACCCCGUAACAUAGCGAUGUGGCAUCACAUUGCUAUCAUAGCUUCGGCGCUUGUUGAUGGGUGUGCGGCUGAUUAGAUAGUUGGCGGGGUAACGGCCCACCAAGUCUACGAUCAGUAGCUGAUGUGAGAGCAUGAUCAGCCACACGGGCACUGAGACACGGGCCCGACUCCUACGGGAGGCAGCAGUAAGGAAUAUUGGACAAUGGACGCAAGUCUGAUCCAGCCAUGCCGCGUGAAGGAUUAAGGUCCUCUGGAUUGUAAACUUCUUUUAUAAGGGACGAAAAAAGGUCUUUCUAGAUCGUCUGACGGUACCUUAUGAAUAAGCACCGGCUAACUCCGUGCCAGCAGCCGCCGUAACAC